ensembl:lncRNA
AUGUGUGUGUUUUGUAUUGCUGUCGAUGUUUUUCGGUCCUGUUUUCCAGCUGAUUCAGGAGGACUUUUAAAGAUUUUAUUUAGCCUUAAAAGUUGGGAGAUACGAGGUUUUAAGGAGAGGAGAGACAGCAAUCGGAAAAGUAACCAAUGUCAUGGAUUAAAAAUGUUCAGUGUUUACGCCGAAUGUCGCCUGUCUNNNNNNNNNNGUCUGUCUGUCUGUCUGUCUGUCUGUCUGUCUGUCUGUCUGUCUGUCUGUCUGUCUGUCUGUCUGUCUGUCUGUCUGUCUGUCUGUCUGUCUGAGGCCUCAUUAAAGUCCUCAGGAUGCGGCUCUUAUUCCAGCCAGGAAUUAGCGCAGCAUCAAGCAGCUUAAUACCACCAGCCGACCCACAACAACCCUCCGCUGCGAGGGGGGGGGGGAGUUAACGAAGCGUCUUCAUGUCUGAAACACGUCGAACAACGAGGACGGACCGCCGCGUGUCAACGCCAGCCGCUCGUUAGGGGGACAUUUUGCAUUUCAUGCAGACCUAAUUCCAUUGUAUAUUUACAGCAGCAAAGGCCUCUGUUGAGAAAAUAACGUGACUGAUCUGUAGCGACGACGAAGCAUAACUGUCACUUCACUGACCAGCGUGAAACAACAACAACUGAAUUUACUCGUCAGAGGAUUAUCUUAUUUUAACAAAAUAAUUAAGUUUAGCUGUUUUGAAGACACACAUUUUCAAAAUGUAUCUACAACCUAAUCAUUUAUAAAUAGAAGGCACCAUUUUUUUUAAUUUAAAUAAACAGGUUGCAAACAAAGUUGCGUUACAACUGAAUUCGGCCAAAUCUAUAAACACGCUGCUUCCGCUCGAGGAAAAGGCGACGGCAGCUGGAGACUCACUCCCCAAAUGUUUUGUGGGCGGCGUGGACGGCUGGAGCCAUAUGGCCGACAGCGUCACGUGACGCGCCGCUAUUGGAUUAAUGACAAACGCACACACACACACACACACACACACAUACACACACACACAGGGCCCGCCUGCUGUUCAGGUCUAGCAGUCAACAACAUCCACACAGGACGCCGCCGCCGCCGAGCUCUCUGAUUGGCUGCCGCGCAUUCAAACGGCCCACUGGCACCGCUGGCCCGUAUUUCAGGGUCACCAAUUAGCCGCUGAUGAAUUGUUUGGCUUGUCGCGGCGGGCGAAGGAGCGCGAUCUCUGUGAGGUUCCCCCAACGGCUCACUGAAUAAAUCAAUUAACCGAAUCGACCCGACUCACAGUGACGGGCGAAACGUUGUUGUGACACGACGAGAUUAAAGCUGCAGUCGAACCUCGUCAGCAGAAUGGGAUGAACAGCCCCCCCGUUCAUCCAGUAAUUAAUCCAAUUUGAUGACACUCUGGCAGCAACAACACCAAUCAAUGGACAUUCGGUGUAGACUUUUGAUGGCUCUGAACCAGAGAAACGGACCUGGUGCCAGAAGUGAUGCUCCCAUCAGUCACAUGGUACACUUUGAUAACAUGCGUAUGCUUUGAAUGUCUCAAAUACUUUACUUUAUUUAGCUUUUUAAUUAACAACCACCACGUCAUCACAUGUGGUAGAUUAUUAUUAUUAUUAUUAUUAUAUUAUUAUCAGCGUGCAGGGUUUUCACUUUUCAAAAGCUCACCCAAAUGAACACGGACGAAUGGAGCAGUAGAGCGACUUAAAGGGAUUUAAGGUGCUUUAUCGUUGCUUUGGCUUUGUUACGUUUGGUCAGAGAGGCUUAAAUAAAUUACCGCAACUUCGUCUUCAUCUUCAUCAUCAUCAUCAUCACCCUCGUCGCAGAAGAGAGCCUCCCUGGGGGGGGUGGAGCCGCUGAGACCCUCACGCGAUGAGGAACUUCACCGGUUCCCCGUUAAAGUUCCUCAUCGCGUGACGGUUACUGACACUCGUCCCCCCCUGUGACCUUGAACACAAUGUGUGUGUGUGUGUGUGUUUCUGGUCACCGCGGCAACAGUUACCAAGCAGCGAGGGGAGCCGUGCUCGGCCCGGCCCCCCGCGUGACGAGGUGACGCUCGCUGCGGCGCUUCAGAGGAAGAGCGGAGGAAACAGCGAGGGGGGAAGUUUCUGCUGCACCAUCUGCACCGUCACCUUUAGACGGGCUGCAGGUCAGAGCUCAGAGUCGCACAGCGCUGCCUGCGUAACAAUGAAGAGGAAGUUCGCCGCUCGUUUCCCCAGUCGGAGCUUCCCCCUCCGGCUCAUCGCGUUCCCCGUUCAUCCCUGAAACACGGCGAGGAGGAAGAUGGCCUCUGAAAACCACUUCCUGUCACACGGAGGCCUCGUUGGAUCCAACGAACGCUGCUGCACCUGCAUGAACUCCUCCGGCCCGCGACCCUCGCGGGGAUUUGAGAGGGUCAGAGGUCAAGGUGACAUGUGACCAGGGCGUACCGCGUCACAUGUCACUGGCCAUCCGUAACACCACAACACCACCCUAACACCAUCAUAACACCAC